rnacentral:rRNA from 1 species
CCUACGGGAGGCUGCAGUAGGGAAUAUUGCUCAAUGGGGGAAACCCUGAUGGUGCGACGCCGCGUGGGGGAAUGAAGGUCUUCGGAUUGUAAACCCCUGUCAUGUGGGAGCAAAUUAAAAAGAUAGUACCACAAGAGGAAGAGACGGCUAACUCGGUGCCAGCAGCCGCGGUAAUACAGAGGUCGCAAGCGUUGUUCGGAAUCACUGGGCGUAAAGCGUGCGGAGGCUGUUUCGUAAGUCGUGUGUGAAAGGCGCGGGCUCAACCCGCGGACGGCACAUGAUACUGGGAGACUAGAGUAAUGGAGGGGGUACCGGAAUUCUCGGUGUAGCAGUGAAAUGCGUAGAUAUCGAGAGGAACACUCGUGGCGAAGGCGGGUUCCUGGACAUUAACUGACGCUGAGGCACGAAGGCCAGGGGAGCGAAAGGGAUUAGAUACCCUUGUAGUC